AUUGAAACACCGAUCCCCUUAAACUCACCAAAGUUAAGCAAUGUCAAGCCUGGUCAGUACCGAGAUGGGUGACCGCUUGGGAAUACCAGGUACUGUAA